rnacentral:lncRNA from 10 species
CCGCCACCUUCCCAGUGCCCCAGCUAGGACUUCGAUCACCUCAGCAAGAACUUACCUCUCCUUUGCAGUGGAAAAGAGGGAAUCCUGCCUAAAACCUACUUCACGGUGUUAAAUGGUCCCGGAGAGAACAAAAACAGAGAGGUAACUAUGUCAAGCUAUCUGCUGGAGCUGGGACACAUUCUUCCUCUCCUGUCCUUGGACAACAACUCCAGGCUCCCCAGCCUUCAAACUCCAGGACUUCUCCCCUCUCCUCCACCCUUCCUGGCUUCUCAGGCCUUUGGCCUUGAACUGAGAGCUACACCAUCAGAUUCCCUGAUUCUGAGGCCUUCGGGACUUGAAUUGAGCCAUACUACCAGCCUCCCAGGGUCUCCAGUCUGCAGACG